GGGUGAGUAACGCGUGAGAAAUCUAGCUUCAGGUCUGGGACAACCACCUGGAAACGGUGGCUAAUACCGGAUGUGCCGGAAAGGUGAAAGGCUUGCUGCCUGAAGAUGAGCUCGCGUCCGAUUAGCUAGUAGGUGGGGUAAGAGCCUACCUAGGCGACGAUCGGUAGCUGGUCUGAGAGGAUGACCAGCCACACUGGGACUGAGACACGGCCCAGACUCCUACGGGAGGCAGCAGUGGGGAAUUUUCCGCAAUGGGCGAAAGCCUGACGGAGCAAUACCGCGUGAGGGAGGAAGGCUCUUGGGUUGUAAACCUCUUUUCUCAGGGAAGAACACAAUGACGGUACCUGAGGAAUCAGCAUCNGGCUAACUCCGUGCCAGCAGCCNGCGGUNAAUACGGAGGAUGCAAGCGUUAUCCGGAAUGAUUGGGCGUAAAGCGUCCGCAGGUGGCUGUGUAAGUCUGCUGUCAAAGAGCAAAGCUCAACUUUGUAAAGGCAGUGGAAACUACACGGCUAGAGUGCGUUCGGGGGCAGAGGGAAUUCCUGGGUGUAGCGGUGAAAUGCGUAGAGAUCAGGAAGAACACCGGUGGCGAAGGCGCUCUGCUAGGCCGCAACUGACACUGAGGGACGAAAGCUAGGGGAGCGAAUGGGAUUAGAUA
rnacentral:rRNA from 1 species